UUUAAUAUGGCAGAAUAAAGUGCAAUGAAUUUAAGAUUCAUAAAUAAAGUUAUUUUUUAUUAAAA
rnacentral:tRNA from 1 species